CUUCUUUGCUUCCUGUCUGGUCCUGCUGUUUCCUUUGCUCAGGCUCCUGGGUCGGCUACGGAGUGGCCCUGGGGCCCUCGCUUUGAAUCUCCCAAACCGGAUCAAACUCAGGACCUUGUGCUUGCAAGGCAGGCACUGGAACCACUGAGCUAAAUCCCCGGCUCUGAUGACUACAAUGUCUUGCCCAAGGCAGUGUCCCCCACGAGUCCGGCCAGAGGCCCAGAGCCCACGGCAGGGUCCCAUGCAAGUCCACAUUGAGCAUCUGCACCGGGAAGGCCCGAAGGCCACUGGUGGAAGCCAGAAAUCCUGUGGCACCAGCCUGAGGGGGCUCAAGGCGAAGAGCAGAGCUCCCCCGACAAGAACAGCAGCCAUCCCCGGCGACAGGGGGGACUCGAGCUCCUCCUCUGACAAUGAGAACAGCGGAGUUCGCACCAGGAAAACCAGCCGCGGCAAAGCCUCCCAGGAGCAUCAACAGCAUUCGAUCUUCACCUCCGG
rnacentral:lncRNA from 1 species